rnacentral:rRNA from 1 species
CGAAGGGUGCUAGCGUUGUUCGGAAUUACUGGGCGUAAAGCGCGCGUAGGCGGCUAUACAAGUCAGGGGUGAAAUCCUUGGGCUCAACCCAAGAAUUGCCUUUGAAACUGUGUAGCUAGAGUGUCGGAGGGGAUAGCGGAAUUGCUAAUGUAGAGGUGAAAUUCGUAGAUAUUAGCAGGAACACCGGUGGCGAAGGCGGCUAUCUGGACGACAACUGACGCUGAGGCGCGAAAGCACGGGGAUCAAACAGGAUUAGAUACCCUGGUAGUCCGUGCUGUAAACGAUGGAUGCUAGCUGUUGGAGGGAUACCCUUCAGUAGCGCAGCUAACGCGUUAAGCAUCCCGCCUGGGGAGUACGGUCGCAAGAUUA